GCCUGGAUAGCUCAGUUGGUUAGAGUGUGCUGUUGAUAAUGCCAAGGUUGCAGGUCCAAUCCCCGUAUGGGUCA